ensembl:ncRNA H24G06.2 ncRNA
CAUUUGCUUUACAUAAUUUUUUUUCAGAUUUUAGAAAAUUAAUUUUGAAAUCCUGGACCUUCGCUUUUAUUUUUAAACUUUGAGAGAAAUUUGAAUAUUACGAUGAUUGAUUUGAAAAGAUUGAGUUUUUCGUAUAGUUAUAAAAAUUUGAGUCUCCGGUGAAUUUCCAAAAAAUUCUAAAACUCUGAUUAAAUAUUCCACCUUUCUAAAAAUAAAUGCCAUAUU